GUCCCAGUGUCCGAGUGGUUAAGGAGCCGCCCUGCUAAGGCGGUGUGCUUUGCAGCGCAGGUUCGAAUCCUGUCUGUGACG
rnacentral:tRNA from 1 species